CUGGUUGGUGGGGUAACGGCCUACCAAGGCGACGAUCGGUUGCUGGUCUGAGAGGACGAUCAGCCACACUGGGAUUGAGAACGGCCCAGACUCCUACGGGGGGCAGCAGUGAGGAAUUUUCGGCAAUGGAGGCAACUCUGACCGAGCAACGCCGCGUGCAGGAAGACGCGUUUCGGCGUGUAAACUGCUUUUCUGCGGGACGAGCAAGGACGGUACCGCAGGAAGAAGCCCCGGCUAACUACGUGCCAGCAGCCGCGGUAAUACGUAGGGGGCGAGCGUUGUCCGGGGUUACUGGGCGUAAAGGGCAUGUAGGCGGUCGAUUUUGUCGGGGCGGACAGGGGAGGGCUUCACCCUCUCAGCAGCCACGAAACGGGUCGACUGGAGCCUCAGAGAGGGACACGGAAUUCCGGGUGGAGCGGUGAAAUGCGUAGAGAUCCGGAGGAACACCGCAGGCGCAGGCAGUGUCCUGGCUGAGAGCUGACGCUGAGGUGCGAAAGCGAGGGGAGCGAACGGGAUUAGAUACCCCGGUAGUCCUCGCCGUAAACGAUGACCACUAGGUGUGGGAGGUAUCGACCCCUUCCGUGCCGCCGUUAACACAAUAAGUGGUCCGCCUGGGGAGUACGGUCGCAAGAUUAAAACUCAAAGGAAUUGACG
rnacentral:rRNA from 1 species